rnacentral:rRNA from 1 species
CCAAGAGCUUGCUCUUGGGGAUUAGUGGCGAACGGGUGAGUAACACGUGAGUAACCUGCCCUUGACUCUGGGAUAACCUCCGGAAACGGAAGCUAAUACCGGAUACGAACUGCGAAGGCAUCUUCAGCAGUUGGAAAGAACUUCGGUCAAGGAUGGACUCGCGGCCUAUCAGGUAGUUGGUGAGGUAAAGGCUCACCAAGCCUACGACGGGUAGCCGGCCUGAGAGGGUGACCGGCCACACUGGGACUGAGACACGGCCCAGACUCCUACGGGAGGCAGCAGUGGGGAAUAUUGCACAAUGGGCGCAAGCCUGAUGCAGCAACGCCGCGUGAGGGAUGACGGCCUUCGGGUUGUAAACCUCUUUUAGUAGGGAAGAAGCGAAAGUGACGGUACCUGCAGAAAAAGCACCGGCUAACUACGUGCCAGCAGCCGCGGUAAUACGUAGGGUGCGAGCGUUGUCCGGAAUUAUUGGGCGUAAAGAGCUCGUAGGCGGUCUGUCGCGUCUGCUGUGAAAACCCGAGGCUCAACCUCGGGCCUGCAGUGGGUACGGGCAGACUAGAGUGCGGUAGGGGAGAAUGGAAUUCCUGGUGUAGCGGUGGAAUGCGCAGAUAUCAGGAGGAACACCGAUGGCGAAGGCAGUUCUCUGGGCCGUAACUGACGCUGAGGAGCGAAAGCGUGGGGAGCGAACAGGAUUAGAUACCCUGGUAGUCCACGCCGUAAACGUUGGGCGCUAGAUGUGGGGACCAUUC